rnacentral:lncRNA from 1 species
UUGACACCUGUGAGUGAAUUUGCAUUUCAAAAUUUAUUUGGGAAUUCUAAUUAAGUUGAAAUGAAAUGCGUGAAUGAUUAUAUCUUAUUCUCAUUUAAAAAUGAAUCUCGGGAACAAGCCUUUAUUGAAAAUAUUUCUGUGAUGUUAAAUAUGAUUGCGAUGCAUCUGUGUAUAUCUGUAUGAUGCCUACAUGUAUUAUAGAGAAAUUGUGUGAAAUUAAGUGUACUGAAUCUGUGUACCCUUGUAUUAUGCUGAUAUGCAUUAUUAAUAAAUUAUUGUGAAAUUGAUGCAACCGUGCAUGUGUGGAGUAGGAAGUGCAAUGCCAGUUGAAUGACAAAGGAUGUGAUAAUUACGAUCGUGCAUGUGCGGAGUGGGAAGUGCAAAUGCCGAUUUAAUGAUAAAGGUUGUGAUAAUUACAACCGUGCAUGUGCGGAGUGGGAAGUACAAAUGCCGGUUUAAUGAUAAAAGUUAUGAUAAUUACGACCGUGCAUGUGUGGAGUGGGAAGUACAAAUGCCGAUUUAAUGAUAAAGGUUGUGAUAAUUACUACCGUGCAUGUGCAAAGUGGGGACGACGAUACGUAGCGCCCACAAUUUCCUAGAAAUUCAGAGGUGUGCAAAGAGGGAUACUGAGUGAUACCCCUUACCGAGUACUCCGAUAGUUAUUUCUUUGUACCACCAAGAACAAUGAAGACUUGGCGAUGUAUAUAAUUGCUCAUAUCUUUGUGUAUAUAUGUGUGAUUGUGUGGUAUGUGAAACCCUUGUUUGUGACGGUUUGUGAUAAACCGUUCAUUUUGCUAUCUUGCUUGAUAGAACAAUUGGUGAAUAAAAUUGUACGUGAUACAUAUGCAUAUAUGAAUCGUACGGGUUGUGAAACCCUUAUUAUGUGACGAUUUGUAAAUAAUCGUCAGUUUUACUACUUUGCUAGAAUGAUCGGUGUAAACUC